AUCGCUUCUUGGCCUUUUUGGCUAAGAUCAAGUGUAGUAUCUGUUCUUAUCAGUACCCAUAAAUGCUAGUAGUCACUCCUGUGCCCUGCCUUACCAGGCAUUGAACCCAGGACCUCUC
rnacentral:snRNA from 1 species